AGCUUCCAUCAUCCAUGUUCUGGCACAAUUUGAAGAUAUGUUUUUUUUAAUUCAUAAGGAUUGACUAUUGAUAAAAGGAUGACCAUAAGCUUAUAGUCAGUCAAUAUGUAAUUAUUUAUGGAGAGAAAAAAUUGCUCAGAAAUACAACAAUGACUUGAGCAUUAUAAAAAUUAAAUCCGCACAACCAAAGUUCUGCAUCUCUAUCAGUAUUCACCUUGAAAUUUUGAGUUCUGAAACAAUUCAGAGAAGAAAUGGCCUUAGCUAUGGUGGGAGAGGCACUUAUCUCUGCUUCUGUGGAGAUAUUAUUGGAUAAGAUAACGUCCAAGGAGUUUCGAGAUUUCUUUGCCAACAGAAAGUUGAAUGUUUCUCUCUUGGAUGAGUUAAAGAUAAAGUUGUUGGCACUUAAUGCUGUCCUCAAUGAUGCAGAGGAGAAGCAGAUCACUGAUCCUGCAGUGAAAGAAUGGCUUGAUGAGCUCAAAGAUGCUGUCUUGGAUGCUGAGGAUUUAUUGGAUGAAAUCAACACUGAAUCUUUGAGAUGCAAGGUGGAAGCUGUAGGUGAUUCUCAAAACUUUACUAUCCAGGUCAGAUCGUUCCUUUCUUCUCCCUUUAAUCAAUUCUAUAGGAGCAUGAAUUCCAAGCUUGAAGCAAUAUCUGGAAGGCUACAACAUUUUGUGAAUCAUAUAGCUAUUCUUAAUCUGCAAAAUAUCACUAGGAGAGUCUCUUUCGGAAGGAAAACAGAUUCAUUGGUUGAAACUGUUGUGGUUGCUAGAGGGGAUGACAAAGAGAAGCUAUUGAGUAUGCUUCUAUCAGAUGAUGAUGCAAAGUCUAAAAAUGUAGGAGUGGUCACAAUAUUAGGGAUGGGAGGGUUAGGCAAAACAACCCUUGCUCAACUCCUUUACAAUGAUCCUGAAGUCCAAAACCAUUUUGAUUUAAAAGCUUGGGCAUGGGUAUCUGAUGAUUUUGAUGUUUUCAGGGUAACCAAGAAUCUUCUUGAGUCUAUCACCAAAAAAACUUGUGAUAGUACUAACCUUGAUAAUCUCCGUGUUGAAUUAAGGAAUAACUUAGAAGAUAAGAAGUUUUUGCUUGUGUUGGAUGAUCUGUGGAAUAAGAAGUAUAAUGAUUGGCAUAGCCUCCUAACUCCUUUUAGCUGUGGGAAAGAGGGAAGUAGGAUCAUCGUGACAACUCGAGAACCAAGAGUUGCACAGAUCACACACACCUUUCCCAUUUGUGAGUUGGAAACACUAACAGAUGAAAAUUGUUGGUGCAUACUUGCCAAACAUGCAUUUAGCCAUGAUGGUUAUGACAACUUUCCAAUUCUCGAAGAAAUUGGAAGGAAAAUAGCAAGAAAAUGUGGUGGCCUUCCAAUAGCUGCUAAAACAUUGGGAGGUCUUCUGCGAUCAAAUGUUGAUCCAGGGGAAUGGAACAGAAUUCUGAACAGCAGUUUAUGGGCACAUGCUGAUGUUUUACCAGCUUUGCACAUAAGUUAUCUUCAUCUUCCAGCACAUCUGAAAAGUUGUUUUGCCUAUUGCUCAAUCUUUCCAAAACAACAUUUGUUAGAUAGGAAGGAAAUGAUUUUGUUAUGGAUGGCUGAAGGCUUUCUACAACAAUCUCAUGCAGGGAAAGCGAUGUAACUAGCAGGUGAGGACUGCUUUAAUGAGUUGUUAUCCAGAUCCUUAAUCCAAAAAGAAGUUUUUGAUGCAGAGGAAAAGUUUCGUAUGCAUGACCUCAUUUACGAUUUAGCUCGUGAUAGGAACUCAAGGUUAGGGGUUAGUUAGUUAGUUAGUUAUACUUAGUGAGUUAGUUAGAAUGUUAUUGAGGCAUGUAGCCUAUAAAUAACAGACAUUAGAGAGUUAGGGGGAUCUUUUAGUUCAUUUUGGGUUUUGGGGCCUAGGAAGAGGGUGUGGACUCUCUUGAGAUUGAGUGUGGACUCUUUCUCUUGUACUCUGCCCUGAUUCUCAGUUUGGGAAUUAGGG